rnacentral:rRNA from 1 species
UACGGAGGGAGCUAGCGUUGUUCGGGAUUACUGGGCGUAAAGCGCACGUAGGCGGCUUUGUAAGUUAGAGGUGAAAGCCCGGGGCUCAACCCCGGAAUUGCCUUUAAGACUGCAUCGCUUGAAUCCGGGAGAGGUGAGUGGAAUUCCGAGUGUAGAGGUGAAAUUCGUAGAUAUUCGGAAGAACACCAGUGGCGAAGGCGGCUCACUGGACCGGUAUUGACGCUGAGGUGCGAAAGCGUGGGGAGCAAACAGG